rnacentral:tRNA from 1 species
GCCUGAGUGGCUCAGUGGUUGAGUGUCUGCCUUUGGCUCAGACUGUGAUCCCAGGGUACUGGGAUCAAGUCCCACAUCAGGCU